rnacentral:lncRNA from 10 species
CAAAAAUCAAAUACUUAAGGUGGAAAUCUAGUGAAACGUGUGUAGGAGUUGUAUGCUGAAAAAUGCAAUUCAAGAUUAAGAUGGAGAGACAAACUUCAUGCCCAUAUUAGAAGAUUCAACAUAGUUGACAUGGUUUGUCUCUGUCCCCACCUAGAUCUCAUCUUGAAUUGUAGCUCCCAUAAUUUCUACUUGCUGUGGGAGGGACCGGGUGGGAGAAAAUUGAAUCAUGGGGGUGGUUUCCCCCAUACUGUUCCCAUAGUAGUGAAUAAGUCUCAUGAGAUAUGAUGGUGCUAUAAGAUGAAACCCCUUUUGUUUGGCUCUCAUUUCUUCUCUUGUCUGCCGCCAUGUGAGAUGUGCUUUUCACUUUCCACCGUGAUUUUGAGUCCUCCCUAUCCACGUGCAACUGUGUCAAGAAUGUGGACGCUUGAAUUCAAUCUAUCUACUGAAGAUUAUCUGUUUGCCAGCAGCCCCACCUUGCACCACUUUUAGAAUCAGUGAACUCUCUGGGGGAUAUUUUUUUAAAAAUUAACUGAUGUAUUUAAUUAGAGAAACAGAAUAAAGAUAUUUUUCAAAAAUAAUGCAUACAAUUACUCAAAAUUCUAGACAUGACAUUUGUGCUGUUGAUUUGCUGAACAGCACAGUUGAUAAUCAGAAAAUUUGGACCCCCUCGCUGUCGACUUAGAACAAUGUCGUUUCUUAGGGUGACAGCAGAAUGGA